rnacentral:piRNA from 1 species
UUUCUUCUUAGGCUAAGAAACGC